rnacentral:rRNA from 1 species
UACGUAGGGAGCAAGCGUUGUCCGGAAUCAUUGGGCGUAAAGCGCGCGUAGGUGGCUUCGUAAGUCCGUUGUGAAAGUCAAGGGCUCAACCCUUGGAUGCCGGUGGAUACUGCAGGGCUAGAGUCCGGAAGAGGCGAGUGGAAUUCCUGGUGUAGCGGUGAAAUGCGCAGAUAUCAGGAGGAACACCGAUGGCGAAGGCAGCUCGCUGGGACGGUACUGACGCUGAGGCGCGAAAGCGUGGGGAGCAAACAGG